rnacentral:rRNA from 1 species
UACGUAGGUGGCGAGCGUUGUCCGGAUUUACUGGGCGUAAAGAGCGCGCAGGCGGUCGUGCAAGUCGCGUGUGAAAGCCCCCGGCUCAACUGGGGAGGGUCACGCGAUACUGCUCGACUCGAAGGCAGGAGAGGGUAGUGGAAUUCCCGGUGUAGUGGUGAAAUGCGUAGAUAUCGGGAGGAACACCAGUGGCGAAGGCGACUACCUGGCCUGUUCUUGACGCUGAGGCGCGAAAGCUAGGGGAGCAAACGGG